rnacentral:rRNA from 1 species
CACAAGCGGUGGAGCAUGUGGUUUAAUUCGAUGCAACGCGAAGAACCUUACCUGGUCUUGACAUCCACGGAAGUUUUCAGAGAUGAGAAUGUGCCUUCGGGAACCGUGAGACAGGUGCUGCAUGGCUGUCGUCAGCUCGUGUUGUGAAAUGUUGGGUUAAGUCCCGCAACGAGCGCAACCCUUAUCCUUUGUUGCCAGCGGUCCGGCCGGGAACUCAAAGGAGACUGCCAGUGAUAAACUGGAGGAAGGUGGGGAUGACGUCAAGUCAUCAUGGCCCCUACGACCAGGGCUACACACGUGCUACAAUGGCGCAUACAAAGAGAAGCGACCUCGCGAGAGCAAGCGGACCUCAUAAAGUGCGUCGUAGUCCGGAUUGGAGUCUGCAACUCGACUCCAUGAAGUCGGAAUCGCUAGUAAUCGUGGAUCAGAAUGCCACGGUGAAUACGUUCCCGGGCCUUGUACACACCGCCCGUCACACCAUGGGAGUGGGUUGCAAAAGAAGUAGGUAGCUUAACCUUCGGGAGGGCGCUUACCACUUUGUGAUUCAUGACUGGGGUGAAGUCGUAACAAGGUAGCCGUAAAUCUCUGGAAGAUCCGCGC